CGCGUAGGCGGUUCGUACAGUCAGACGUGAAAUUCCCGGGCUCAACCUGGGGGCUGCGUUUGAUACGUACGGGCUUGAGUCCGGAAGAGGGUGGUGGAAUUCCCAGUGUAGAGGUGAAAUUCGUAGAUAUUGGGAAGAACACCGGUGGCGAAGGCGGCCACCUGGUCCGGUACUGACGCUGAGGCGCGAAAGCGUGGGGAGCAAACAGGAUUAGAUACCCUGGUAGUCCACGCUGUAAACGAUGUGCGCUGGAUGUUGGGCAGUCUGACUGUUCAGUGUCGUAGCCAACGCGAUAAGCGCACCGCCUGGGGAGUACGGCCGCAAGGUUGAA
rnacentral:rRNA from 1 species